rfam:Brassica rapa chromosome A2, whole genome shotgun sequence.
UCACUUACCUGGACGUGGUCAACUCGUGAUCAAGAAGACGAGUGGCCUAGGCUAGCGACCUCCAUUGCACUGAGGAGGGGUGCUUAGCCUAGGGUCUCCCCAAGUGGGAGAGCCUGCGUCAUUAUUUGUGGCAGAGGGGGCCUGCGUUCGCGCGGCUCCUAC